rnacentral:rRNA from 1 species
UUAGAGUUUGAUCCUGGCUCAGGAUGAACGCCGGCGGUGUGCCUAAUACAUGCAAGUCGUACGCACUGGCCCAACUGAUUGAUGGUGCUUGCACCUGAUUGACGAUGGAUCACCAGUGAGUGGCGGACGGGUGAGUAACACGUAGGCAACCUGCCCCGGAGCGGGGGAUAACAUUUGGAAACAGAUGCUAAUACCGCAUAACAACAAAAGUCACAUGGCUUUUGUUUGAAAGAUGGCUUUGGCUAUCACUCUGGGAUGGACCUGCGGUGCAUUAGCUAGUUGGUAAGGUAACGGCUUACCAAGGCGAUGAUGCAUAGCCGAGUUGAGAGACUGAUCGGCCACAAUGGAACUGAGACACGGUCCAUACUCCUACGGGAGGCAGCAGUAGGGAAUCUUCCACAAUGGGCGCAAGCCUGAUGGAGCAACACCGCGUGAGUGAAGAAGGGUUUCGGCUCGUAAAGCUCUGUUAUUGGAGAAGAACGUGCGUGAGAGUAACUGUUCACGCAGUGACGGUAUCCAACCAGAAAGUCACGGCUAACUACGUGCCAGCAGCCGCGGUAAUACGUAGGUGGCAAGCGUUAUCCGGAUUUAUUGGGCGUAAAGCGAGCGCAGGCGGUUGCUUAGGUCUGAUGUGAAAGCCUUCGGCUUAACCGAAAAAGUGCAUCGGAAACCGGGCGACUUGAGUGCAAAAGAGGACAGUGGAACUCCAUGUGUAGCGGUGGAAUGCGUAAAUAUAUGGAAAGACCCCCGGUGGCGAAGGGGGCUUGUCUGGUCUGCAACUGACGCUGAAGCUCCAAAGCAUGGGUUACCGAACAGGAAUAAAAUCCCCUGGUAAUCCCUGCCCAAAA